UACGUAGGGGGCUAGCGUUGUCCGGAUUUAUUGGGCGUAAAGAGCGUGUAGGCGGCCAUGUAGGUCCGGUGUGAAAACUCGAGGCUUAACCUCGAGAUGUCAUCGGAAACCAUUUGGCUAGAGUCCGGAAGAGGAGAGUGGAAUUCCUGGUGUAGCGGUGAAAUGCGCAGAUAUCAGGAGGAACACCAAUUGCGAAGGCAGCUCGCUGGGACGUAACUGACGCUGAGACGCGAAAGCGUGGGGAGCAAACAGG
rnacentral:rRNA from 1 species